rnacentral:rRNA from 1 species
UAAUACGUAGGGUGCGAGCGUUAAUCGGAAUUACUGGGCGUAAAGCGUGCGCAGGCGGUUUUGUAAGUCAGAUGUGAAAUCCCCGGGCUUAACCUGGGAACUGCGUUUGAAACUACAAGGCUAGAGUGUGGCAGAGGGGGGUGGAAUUCCACGUGUAGCAGUGAAAUGCGUAGAGAUGUGGAGGAACACCGAUGGCGAAGGCAGCCCCCUGGGUUAACACUGACGCUCAGGCACGAAAGCGUGGGGAGCAAACAGGAUUAGAUACCCUGGUAGUCCACGCCCUAAACGAUGUCAACUAGUUGUCGGGUCUUAACGGACUUGGUAACGCAGCUAACGCGUGAAGUUGACCGCCUGGGGAGUACGGUCGCAAGAUU